rnacentral:pre_miRNA from 1 species
AUUCUCUUUGUGAGUUAGGUACCAGAAGGGGUUCGCAAAUAUAUAUUAUAUAUAUUAUAUAUAUAAUAUAUAUUUGCGAACCCCUUCUGGUACCUAACUCAUAAAGAGAAUCAGU